GAGACAGAUAAGGUCUGGAUCAGAAAUAAGGCAAUGAGGGAUGAAAAGAAAUGGUUUGGCAAGAAUUUGCGACUGAUUAGAUUAAGAAAAGAGAGGCAAAUAGGCUAGAAGGAGGAAUCUGAGGUGAUUCCAAGAUUUUAGACUGUCGAAGAGCUGGAAAAAAAGAGGAAGUCCAAAGGGGGAUCUGAGAUGCAGUUGACUUUAGAAAUUAGAGAUACCCAACAGAAAGUUAAAGGUCAGGACUGAAGCUCGAAGCAAAGGUCAGGACUGCAAAUAUAUGGCUGAAUGUCUAUCACAUAAAAGUCUGUAGAGAACUGAGUACACAGGAGUGAACCUUGGGAGGGAAACAUCAGUGCAAGUCAAAUAGAAUUAAGUAAGCCAACUAUAAUCCUAUUUUUGGCCUCCCAUAAUUUGAUAUAAUUUUAUUUCUUUGUACAAUGUGGUCUACAUUUUCAGUUAUGUGUGUAAGAAUUAGUUGUUAGUGUAUAAACCAUCUUCACUAUGCUAGUGAGUCAGCUCUGUGUAGGACAAGAUGAACUGGUUUUCAAUAUUUUAAUAUCCCUUGUUUCUUCAAGGAGAUCAGGGAUUAUACACAUUUCAAAUUCUAAAUAAAAGAAUGUUCUUUAUUUCUUA
rnacentral:lncRNA from 1 species